rnacentral:rRNA from 1 species
GACGAACGCUGGCGGCGUGCUUAACACAUGCAAGUCGAACGGUGAAGGGGUCUGCUUUUGUGGGCCCUGGAUGAGUGGCGAACGGGUGAGUAACACGUGAGUAACCUGCCCCCUUCUUCUGGAUAACCGCAUGAAAGUGUGGCUAAUACGGGAUAUUCUGGGUCUGUCGCAUGAUGGGUCUGGGAAAGAUUGCGCCUUUGGGUGUUUUUGGUGGGGGAUGGGCUCGCGGCCUAUCAGCUUGUUGGUGGGGUGAUGGCCUACCAAGGCGGUGACGGGUAGCCGGACUGAGAGGGUGGACGGUCACACUGGGACUGAGACACGGCCCAGACUCCUACGGGAGGCAGCAGUGGGGAAUAUUGCACAAUGGGCGCAAGCCUGAUGCAGCGACGCCGCGUGAGGGAUGGAGGCCUUCGGGGUGUAAACCUCUUUCGCCAGUGAAGCAGGCCUGCUCAUUGUGGGUGGGUUGACGGUAGCUGGAGAAGAAGCGCCGGCUAACUACGUG